CACAAGGAUAAUCUACUAGAUAAGAAAAGGAGGUGGUUGCUGGGACCUGCAAUCAUAUCUACAUCUGAGAGCAGUCAAAAGAAGUCCAAAAGACCAAAGCAUUUGACAGAUGUCAACUUCAGAAAAAGAAGUGAUUGGCUGAUCCUGAAGAUUUGGAUGGCUUGCUUACAAGGAUUCUUGUCCAAAUCCUCGUUGACAAACUGUCUGUUUCCUCAGAGAUUAUAAGAGCUAAUAUGGAGAGGUGCUUUGGAUCAGAUCAUAAUGGUCAAGGGACACACCAUGUGGUUCAGGAUUACCUGCAACACUUUGGCAUGCAUAACAUGGAGAGUGACUCCUUAAACCCACCCAGCUUAAUGACUUUUUCGGUAAUGAUUGAUAACUUGAACAACGAUGCACUCUGUCCUGUGGCUAACAUAGUCAGCAACAACGAUGUUAGCUUCAAGAAAACCCAUCCGAGGAUAAGAAAGGUCAUAAAGAAUUAUCUUCGAAGAUAUUUUACAGAAUCAAAUUUUAAACACAACCCGACUGCGCUGAAAAAGUCAUCAGAUAUUUUCAGAAACCCAUGCAAUUUUCGGGAGAAACAUUUGACGCUCACCACUCCAAUUUCUCCAUCUCUUUUCUCGGCUAUUUAAAGGUCUUGGAAAGACUUGGUGAAAUGCCUAUUCAGGACCUUAUUGCAGUGAAUAGAAGGCUCAAAGGUCAAGCAAUUGUCCCUUAAUUUCCACCUGUCCUUUAUGGCUCUAGAAAGAAUAUGCUUUUAAAACGAGUGAGGAAAAGAUGUGAAGAUUCUCUUUCAAAAGUUAAGGGGACGACCUGCCGGAACUAUUAGCUAAGGCACUGUCAGUCAUGCUUUUGUCUCUCAAGCUGAAAUCAGGAAGUAUCGAAAUGCUAACAUCAACAUUUUAGCCCUUUCCACCAGAUAUAGUAGGCUUGCAGCAUGGAUUUUUAAAUGCUAUAUGGUCAUUUCCGAAAUUCAGAUAUGCUGAUCUGAAGCCUUGAAACCUUUAGUGGAUCCAGAAGCUAAAGUUCCCACAAGGAGAUUCAGGAUAUCUCUUAAAAAUUAUUUGAAGGAGUAUUUGUUUGCAUGUGAUGAAAUAAAUAUUCCAAAGGAAGUACAGGGUGCUCUUUCUUUUAUCAAUGGGAUGUCGAAGCAUCGACCCAGCAUGUUUUCCAAAGAGACAAGAGAAGAGGAGGUAGAGGCUGUGUUGUCUGUGAGCAGUCAGUUUAAGCAAAUUAUAUUGGACCUGAUUCCAGACCAUAGUAUUGAUGAAGAAUGUGGAGUUGCAUGUGCAGGGGGCUAGGAACUGAUGAGAGCAGUGAGAGUGAUGAUUUUGAAUUGUCAGCAAGUGACUAUUUCUCUGGCUCUGAUGACUGUGAACGCAAGCAAACAUAAGAUUCUUGUUCAAGUGAUGAAGCGGAGACUAUUGGGGAUUCAAGACCUAAUUCCACUCCUAUCACCACUAGUGGCACAGACUCUUCUCAGUUUGCUGCAGCUGCAAGAAAUACAACCUGCAGUAUCCUUAAAGAGCCUAAAUUGGAGCAUAACAAAAUAGCUGCCCUCCAUCACGAUCCCGAAAAGUUGCUAAAGCCCAAUAUUCAAAAUUGUUUUCACAGGACAGCAAGCAUGGGUGACAUAGCAGUCCAGGAUAUCUGUGACAGGACAGCUGUGUUUGCGCAUGGGCUAAUUGGCUGUAUGCUGGACAAGUUUCUGCAAUUUGAAGGCAGAGAUGUAGAUGUGAUGACAAGAUCUUAUCUUAGAGGUGGAUUAUCUCCUGUAGAUUCACAAGUUGUGAUCAGGUGCGGAAGUUCUGUUGAAUACUCCGAAGGUGGAUUUGAAGGCUCAGGUUCUUUAUUCAAGCUGUAGAGGAGCUGCUGCCUUCUUUUCCAAAGAGUUGUAUAGAAAGAGUAAAGAAGUUGAUGGAGCUGCAUUAACUUGCAGGACUCAUAAACUUCAGUUCUUAGGCAUGCUUGGGAGGUAGUAUCAAUCAGGGAGCGCAAAAUCUGAAAGUUGCCUCCUCAAAUUAAGGUGCUUUUGAAGCAAUGUCUUCGGUUGUCCUUCCUGAACACGUCGUAGGUAUGAAGAAGCCAAAGCAAAGGGAAUUCAUAAUUUUGAUAGAGAACUGGAGGAUAUGAUAGAAAGGCUAAUUGUCGAAUGUGAAAGGAAAAUCCAGAGAGCCCUUAAGCGUCUAGAGGAAGAGGAUGCCAAAGCUGCUAUUGCAAUAUCCGUAUCAGAAGUUACCCAGACACCUGAGGUCAUGGAGUUGUCAAAGCAAAUCUAGGAGAAAUUGAAAGAAGCUGAUGCUUUUGAUUUGGAAGGAAAAACUGACGGUAAAAUUCGGGCUCUGGAGGAGGUUGAAGAGCUUAGAACAAAAAGAGCUGAUAAGCAGUCGAUGCUGUUUCUUGAUGCCUUCAACAAAGACCGGGCUUCCUUGCCACAACCACUUCAGAAUUCCUCUCAAUUAUCUUCAACGCCAGCACCUAUUCCUCCGGAUCCCCGAACACAAGAAAUGAUAAAUGAAAAACUUAGAAAGGCAGAAGAUCUUGGUGAGAAGGGAAUGGUAGAUGAAGCUCAGAAAGCUUUGGAAGAGGCAGAAGCUCUGAAAAUGGUUUUUCCCCCUUUCUGGAUGCAUAUGAGUUAAUCAUUUGGUGCAUCUGUCUAACCUCCAUAUAAAUUACUGGGAGAAUAGUCCAAUGACAUCUUCAAGUCUUCCAGAAACAUUUGGGUGCACGCCAGGAACCAGUCUUGGAUUCUUCAAAGUAUACUGCUGCAGAUGUGCUAAUUUGAUCGGUGUUUGGCUGAUCAUUUUGGAGGAAAGCUUCACUUGGGCUGUAUGCAAAUUCGUGAGAAGAUAGCAGAACUUCAGGCGUCAUGAUCGAUACGACGAUACUGAACUUUUAUUUCAGGAUGGAAGAUAUGAAGUGUCGAGGUCUGUAUGCUUAAGCUAUGUGGCUGGUGUUACAGUGUGGUUUCGUGCCUGUGGAUUCAGUUCACCUGAAUAACAUCCUUUUAUCUGGAUUUCCCUGGUGGGUGAUUCCAGCACUUGUGCAAGAAUUUAUAAGCCUGUCUAAUAGCAUGAAAACCUUGUUAGGUCGUUUAACUGCUUUUGGAAGUGCUGUUGUGAAACGUAAAAGAUAGACGCUACUCUGUUGGAAAAAAUGCGUUGACUGGUAGGUUGUGUUUGGUUGCUUUCUUUCUUUAUUUCUGUGUUUUUGUUUCUGCAA